UGGGGGAUAUUGCACAAUGGGCGAAAGCCUGAUGCAGCGACGCCGCGUGGGGGAUGAAGGCCUUCGGGUUGUAAACUUCUUUUGCUCUGAACAAGGCAUGCCUUUGGGGUGAGUUGAGUGUAGGGGUUGAUUAGCGCCGGCUAACUACGUGCCAGCAGCCGCGGUAAUACGUAGGGCGCGAGCGUUGUCCGGAAUUAUUGGGCGUAAAGGGCUUGUAGGUGGCUGGUUGCGUCUGUCGUGAAAGCUCAUGGCUUAACUGUGGGUUUGCGGUAGGUACGGGCUGGCUUGAGUGCAGUAGGGGAGGCUGGAAUUCCUGGUGUAGCGGUGGAAUGCGCAGAUAUCAGGAGGAAUACCGGUGGCGAAGGCGGGUCUCUGGGCUGUUACUGACGCAGAGGAGCGAAAGCGUGGGGAGCGAACAGG
rnacentral:rRNA from 1 species